rnacentral:rRNA from 1 species
AGAGUUUGAUCCUGGCUCAGGACGAACGCUGGCGGUAUGCUUAACACAUGCAAGUCGAACGAGACAAAAGAGAAGUGCUUGCACGGAUCUUUUAGAAAGUGGCGAACGGGUGAGUAACGCGUGGGUAACCUACCCUAUGGAAAGGAAUAGCCUCGGGAAACUGGGAGUAAUGCCUUAUAAGAUAUAUUUGUCGCAUGGCAGAUGUAUUAAACGCUCCGGUGCCAUAGGAUGGACCCGCGUCCCAUUAGCUAGUUGGUGAGAUAACAGCUCACCAAGGCGACGAUGGGUAACCGGUCUGAGAGGGCGAACGGUCACACUGGAACUGAGACACGGUCCAGACUCCUACGGGAGGCAGCAGUGGGGAAUAUUG